AUACUGUGGGUGGCGAGUGGCGGACGGGUGAGUAAUGCAUCGGGACCUGCCCAGACGUGGGGGAUAACGUAGGGAAACUUACGCUAAUACCGCAUACGUCCUACGGGAGAAAGCGGGGGAUCGAAAGACCUCGCGCGGUUGGAUGGACCGAUGUUCGAUUAGCUAGUUGGUGAGGUAAUGGCUCACCAAGGCGACGAUCGAUAGCUGGUCUGAGAGGAUGAUCAGCCACACUGGGACUGAGACACGGCCCAGACUCCUACGGGAGGCAGCAGUGGGGAAUAUUGGACAAUGGGCGAAAGCCUGAUCCAGCAAUGCCGCGUGUGUGAAGAAGGCCUUCGGGUUGUAAAGCACUUUUAUCAGGAGCGAAAUACUGCCGGCUAAUACCCGGCGGGGCUGACGGUACCUGAGGAAUAAGCACCGGCUAACUUCGUGCCAGCAGCCGCGGUAAUACGAAGGGUGCAAGCGUUAAUCGGAAUUACUGGGCGUAAAGCGUGCGUAGGCGGUUCUUUAAGUCUGCUGUGAAAUCCCCGGGCUCAACCUGGGAAUGGCAGUGGAUACUGGAGAGCUAGAGUGUGAUAGAGGAUGGUGGAAUUCCCGGUGUAGCGGUGAAAUGCGUAGAGAUCGGGAGGAACAUCAGUGGCGAAGGCGGCCAUCUGGAUCAACACUGACGCUGAGGCACGAAAGCGUGGGGAGCAACAGGAUAGAUACCCUGGUAGUCCACGCCCUAACGAUGCGACUGGAUGUUGGUCUCACUCGGAGAUCAGUGUCGAGCUACGCGUAGGUCGCCGCCUGGGGAGUACGUCGCAGACUGAACUCAAGAUGACGGGGUCGCACAAGCGG
rnacentral:rRNA from 1 species